UCAAACCCGUAAACAAACAUGAUCGGCACAAAGUUUAAAGCUUCAGCGUGGUUCUAGUAGUGGCAAAAUAGCUUCGAGUGUUUACUUUUCACUGCGAGGUAUUUGAAAUGAGUGCACCAGCAUUGUACAGGACAACAAAACAAUUUUGAGAAGAACCCAGAACAGGACCUGGAGGAGCAAGACCCAGGCUCAA